rnacentral:rRNA from 1 species
CAGUCGCCGCGGGAAUACAGAGGGUGCGAGCGUUAAUCGGAUUUACUGGGCGUAAAGCGUGCGUAGGCGGCUUCUUAAGUCGGAUGUGAAAUCCCUGAGCUUAACUUAGGAAUUGCAUUCGAUACUGGGAAGCUAGAGUAUGGGAGAGGAUGGUAGAAUUCCAGGUGUAGCGGUGAAAUGCGUAGAGAUCUGGAGGAAUACCAAUGGCGAAGGCAGCCAUCUGGCCUAAUACUGACGCUGAGGUACGAAAGCAUGGGGAGCAAACAGGAUUAGAUACCCCAGUAGUCCCUGUCUCUUAUAC